AAUUUAGACAACACUACAUCUCAAGUUGUGUGCUUACCAUCACAUUGCCGCUGACAUCAAAUCCUUUAGGCCGAUCAUUAUGAAGCUUCUGAUCCUACUCAUUUUUAGCGUUUGGCUAUUCUGUGCCAUCACCUACGCCGCAGUGGAAGAGGAGAUUAAUGAUCCAGUUCGUCGCAACUUACCAUCGAAAGAAAUAAUGGAUCAAGCAAUAAAAAGAAUUCUAGAAUUGAUGAAGGGUUCACAGGGAUAGG